UUAUCCGCGGAAUUAAGCAUAUCAGUAAGCGGAGGAAAAGAAACUAACCAGGAUUUUCCUAGUAAAGGCGAGUGAAAGGAGAUUAGCCCAUCACCGAAGUCUAUCUGCUUUUGUGGACAGGACAAUGUGGUGUUCAGGUGUGUACCCGGGAGCGCUUGCCUACCCGAAGUCCAAUUCCGAUUCUGGCUUGGAUACUACCCACAGCGGGUGAAAGGCCCGUACGGGUAGGCCCCGUGUUGCAAUAAGCGUUCCUCAGAUGUGCAUACCGUCGAGUCGGAUUGCUUGAGAAUGCAGUCCAAAGUGGGUGGUAAACUCCAUCCAAGGGUAAAUAUAGUCACGAGUGAUGGAGAGACCACGCCCCAGG
rnacentral:rRNA from 1 species